rnacentral:rRNA from 1 species
CCCGGGCCUUGUACACACCGCCCGUCACACCAUGGGAGUUGGCUUUACCCGAAGGUGGUGCGCUAACCCGAAAGGGAGGCAGCCAACCACGGUAGGGUCAGCGACUGGGGUG